AGAGUUUGAUCAUGGCUCAGAACGAACGCUGGCGGCAUGGCUAAAACAUGCAAGUCGAACGUGCUCGCAAGAGCAAGUGGCGAAAGGGUCAGUAAUGCGAUCGAACGUACCCUGAGGUGGAGGAUAGGGCGGGGAAACUCGCCAUAAUACUCCAUGAUGUCCUCGGACCAAAGGUUUACCGCCUUGGGAGCGGCGAUCGUCCUAUCAGGUAGUUGGUGAGGUAACGGCUCACCAAGCCGAAGACGGGUAGCAGGUGUGAGAGCACGACCUGCGACAUCGGGACUGAGACACUGCCCGGACUUCUACGGAAGGCUGCAGUAACGAAUCUUCCGCAAUGGGCGAAAGCCUGACGGAGCAAUGCCGCGUGUGGGAUGAAGCGGCUACGCCGUGUAAACCACUGUCAGGGGACAGAAACAAUGAUCGUCCCCAAAGGAAGAGCCGGCUAACCCUGUGCCAGCAGCCGCGGUAAUACAGGGGGCUCGAGCGUUAGUCGGAAUCACUGGGCUUAAAGGGUGCGUAGGCGGCUCGCCAAGUGCUUUGUGAAAUCCCCGAGCUCAACUCGGGAACAGCAGGGCAAACUGGCGGGCUCGAAGCAGGUAGGGGCUGGAAGAACAGUAGGUGGAGCGGUGAAAUGCGUAGAUAUCUACUGGAAUGCCGAUGGGGAAGCCGUCCAGCUGGGCCUGUCUUGACGCUGAGGCACGAAAGCGUGGGGAGCAAACAGGAUUAGAUACCCUAGUAGUCC
rnacentral:rRNA from 1 species